ACUCUUGGGUAACUACCAGCCAGACAGAGAUAUAGGGUGUUUCUAGCACCCCAGGAAAUUCCCUGUUGCCCCCUCUCAGCUUUAGUCCCUAUAGACAACCACUGUUCUGAUCUGAUCUGUUCUACCAGAGACUAGUAUUUUCUGAACUUCACCUUCUUUUACUGAACAUUAUACCUGUAGUAGCCUUCAGUGUAUGGUUGUAUAUAUCAGGAGUUCUUUUUUGUUUUAGUAUUCCUUUACAUUAGUAUACAACAAUUUUUCUACUAUAGACAGAAGCAUCCACUUGGGGCUAUUGUGAGAAAAGUUGAUUUGAACAUUCUUCUGUGUGGUUUUCGGUGGACAUUAGAGCACAUUUCUUUGGGGAUAAAUACAACCUACUUUUUUAUUAUAAUUUUAGUUUUUACUAUUCCUAAAUAAGUAAAUAUCUAUACAUGGUUUUAAUAAAAUGUCAAAAGAAUAUAUACCAAACUAUGAAAAGAAGGGCAAAUGAAACCCAAAGCAAGCAGAUAGUAGAAAAUAAUCAAGAUUACAGCCAAAGUAAUGAAAUAAAGAAGAGAAAAACGAGAGGAAAAAAUCAGCAUAACUAAAAGCUCAUUAUUUGAAAAUAUCAUCAAAAUUGACAAACGUUUAGAUAGGCUAACCAAGAAAAAAGUAAAAAACUCAAAUUACUAAAAUUGAGACUGAAAGGACCUGGGGAGAUGGCACACACCUGAAAUCCCCAGCAACCGCGGAGGAGGCUGAGGCAGAAGGAUCACACUUUCAAGGCCAGGCUGAGCAACUUUGUGAAACCCUAACUCAAAAUAAAAAUUUAAAAGAGUUGGGGAUGUAGUUCAGUGGUAGGGCACCCCAGGGUUCAAUCCCCAGUAC
rnacentral:lncRNA from 1 species